GUAAUGGGUCCACAUCCAAGGACUUAAAAAAACCCAGAGAGAGUUAUUUACACAGUGACUCUAAUGAACAUGACAAAUAUUACAUCAGUUCACUGCAGGCAUUCUCAUGCACCACUGUUAUGUUCCCUGUGUAGCUCUGCCUUCAAAUCAAGUGGGGGAUCAGCAGCAGUUGAAAAAUUUGGCUGUUUGGUGCCAUUUUCUGGGUUGACAUCACUCCAUCUAAUGCUGUUACUUAGAGCCAGUAGAGCAAGGGCCAAUUUCUGCCUGAAUUGUACCCACACCAGCUCUUUCCAUUUAUAAGAAUUCUUUCCAAACUGCUUAUAACCCAGGUCAGGCAGCUCAGCCAGGAAUUCAUCCCAGUGUUAUUUUACCAGUCUCACUGUAAGCUUGGCUGCAGAGGCAGCCCUGAGACUGUGAUCUCCAGCCCACAGAGGAGUUUAUUCCUGCCAGUGAGGUCACAGAACAGUGACCUCCAUGUGAUGCCACUGGUGAAAGCAACAUAGACCCAGCUCUUUAUUGAGCAGCAGAUCUUUGCCCAGCAGAUCCACUGGGCAAAGAUCUGAUUUUUUUGUGCUGUAUCAAGUCUUUUGCAUCAGUGAAUAACGUGUUCACUUGUAUACUGGUAAUACAUUUCAUUCAGGCACUUUGGACCAAAACCUGCGCUCCCAGCAUCCACACAACUCCCAGCUGCUUAGUGGGAUUUGAUGAACACAUCAGAGGGCAGAAUUUGACCCUGGCCUGGAAUGAGUGCCGACAUUUCAUGGCUUUCUCUGUGCCAAGAUUUCACAUCCUGAAGUAUAUCCUGGAAUGAAUGUGCCCAUCAAAUACUACAGAACAACAGAAGCAAGGAUUAUCCAGCUGCUUUCUUUAAAAAGGAGCAUAAGGGACACUAUACAAACAGCCACGGAGCAUUGUGCAGGAAUGUCAGCAGUGAAGACUCCUCACAGCCCUGCCCCAGGAACCUGCAGAGACAAUUAAGAGACUUUGACAUGGUUCAGUGAGGAAACACAACAUGGAAUUACAGAAUCAUUAAGGUUGGAUAAAACCUCUAAGAUCAUCAAGUUCAACCAUUAACCCAGCACUGCCAGGUCCACCAGCAUCUUUCAGAAGAAGGCUGAGACUGGCAGCUACAGCAGUGCACCCUUGGCUGCGUUGUCCCUUGGAACUUCAUGCAACUGCAUUCUUUCAGGACUCACAUACGCUUUGAAAGUGCAUCUGCAUUUGAAUUUCUGUUCCAGAUAGAUCCAAUUAUUUCUCAACAUACUGUAAUUUCCCUUGCUCAAGUAUUCAAGGGAAAAUGACCAAUAUUAACAAGAGUACAUAUAUCUAGUUAAUGAGGAACAGGAUAUCUUUUCCAAAGAUUUUCCUUGAAAGCCCAUAUUUAUGGGUAACGUCGUUUCAAUUCUCGCUCUAUAUUAGCAGCCAGAAAAGCAGUAAAAAUCCCAUUUGCACCUAGACUUUUAGUAUCACCAUAAACCCAGGUAAUCUCCCAGGCAGUUAAGAAGGCAGAACUGGGAAAGAUCAGGCCUCUGGGAGCUUUUCUAGUGGGACAACUGAUCACCUCCUUCAGCAAUUCUGUUUUGGGGUCAGUGUAGUCGAGAUAACACUGCUGCACUCCUAUGGGAGAUGUGGGAAGAGUAGCUGGGAGGGUAUUUGUCUUUGAGGAAGAUAAUUUCAUGCUGAGGGAAACCUAUUUUGCCAGUCAGUGAUGUAAAAACAGGUAAAAUAAAUAAUUUAAUCACAACAUUUUUCAGACAUCUAAAUAUUCAAGAAUUUUGACUGGUAACUGGCUUCAAAAGAAGCCUUACACAGAAAUCAAUGAGAUUUCAAUAGAAAUCAAUAGAAUGUGACAAAAUAUUACAUUUUGGAUUCCCUGAUACCUGCAACUAUUGCCAAUUUGUUACUCCAAUAAAGCUGUUACCCAUCACACCCAGCAUACUUCUGGCACAUGAAAGACACCAUCUUCCUGGACAAGAUUUUACCUUCUCUGCAUGAUUUCUACCCCAAAAAGUGUCCAAUCCUCUGAUCAAAGUGCAUUCAGAACUGUCAUUAUGUAAGAUCCAACCUACUGCAUGCAAUAGCCUGAACUAAAUGACAUUAAAUUAAAUUACAUGUGUGCCAUCACAUUCCAACACUAUUUAAAGAAAGAAGUGCACGGAAAAUUGAGCUUACGGGUCUUUCUUGCUGAAUCUUCGAUGAAAAGGGAAGAUAUGUCCU